CUUGCUAGAAAAUUUAAAAGUUGAUUUUCCUCAUGUUUAUGUAGUUGAAGUCAAAAUCAAAAGUAACAUCACCAAAAGCUUGAUGUCAUAAAGACAAGGAUGAAGAGUGACAGAUUCAUCCAUGAUCCAUAAAAUAACUUACUUCUAAGCAGAUCCUUCAAGCAUGCAGACUAUAGACUUAGGGCAUGUUUGGUAGGGAGGAAUUAUAUUUUGAAAUGAGAAUGAAAAUGAGAAUGAGU
rnacentral:lncRNA from 1 species